rfam:Paraglaciecola psychrophila 170 chromosome, complete genome.
GGAGUUGGCCAGACAAUCGCCGUUCAGUUUUCAUUCUUGAAUUUCUGAAGGGAGGAAAGUCCGGGCUCCAUAGGGCAGGGUGCCAGGUAACGCCUGGGCGGCGCGAGCCGACGACAAGUGCAGCAGAGAGAAGACCGCCAGUUUGUUAUUCGUAAUAAAUCGGUAAGGGUGAAAGGGUGCGGUAAGAGCGCACCGCGUUGCUGGCAACAGUAUACGGCAAGGUAAACUCCACCCGGAGCAAGACCAAAUAGGAUCUCGUAUGGCGUGGCCCACGUUGAGAUCGGGUGUGUUGCUGGAGCCAGUGAGCGAUUGCUGGCCUAGAUGAAUGAUUGUCGCUGUUUGUUUUCGAACAAACUUCACAAAACCCGGCUUAUCGGCCAACUCCAACU